rnacentral:rRNA from 1 species
UACGUAGGGUGCGAGCGUUGUCCGGAAUUAUUGGGCGUAAAGAGCUUGUAGGCGGUUUGUCGCGUCUGCCGUGAAAAUUCGAGGCUCAACCUCGAACUUGCGGUGGGUACGGCAGACUAGAGUGUGGUAGGGGAGACUGGAAUUCCCGGUGUAGCGGUGAAAUGCGCAGAUAUCGGGAGAACACCAGUAGCGAAGGCGGCACUCUGGCCGGAACUGACGCUGAGGAGCGAAAGCGUGGGAGCGAACGAGG